CAAUAGCGUAUAUUAAAGUUGUUGCAGUUAAAAAGCUCGUAGUUGAAUUUCUGGCGGGCGCGCCGGUCUUCCAAGUGUUGUACUGGGCGCAGUCCGCCAUCCUUGUGGAGAGGGCUCGCAUUGAGUUGCGUGUCGGAUCUGCAUCAUUUACUGUGAAAAAAUUAGAGUGUUUAAAGCAGGCUGUCGCUUGAAUACAUUAGCAUGGAAUAAUGAGAUAGGACUUCGGUCUAUUUUGUUGGUUGCGACCCGAGGUAAUGAUUAAUAGGGAUAGUUGGGGGUAUUCAUAUUUAAUUGUCAGAGGUGAAAUUCUUGGAUUUAUGAAAGAUGAACAACUGCGAAAGCAUUUACCAAGGAUGUUUUCAUUAA
rnacentral:rRNA from 1 species